rnacentral:rRNA from 1 species
UACAGAGGUCCCAAGCGUUGUUCGGAUUCACUGGGCGUAAAGGGUGCGUAGGCGGUUGGGUAAGUCUGAUGUGAAAUCUCACAGCUUAACUGUGAAACUGCAUUGGAUACUAUCCAACUCGAGGAAUGGAGGGGAGACUGGAAUACUUGGUGUAGCAGUGAAAUGCGUAGAUAUCAAGUGGAACACCAGUGGCGAAGGCGGGUCUCUGGGCAGUAACUGACGCUGAUGAGCGAAAGCCAGGGGAGCAAACGGG